rnacentral:lncRNA from 1 species
AUUGGAUGAUCCUUAGUCCUCGAUAUGAUGCGAUGUGAUAUGAUACGGUAUGGUACGGAAGUCCAGGUUGUACCCAUUCUACGUCCCUGGCACUAUGUAAGAGAAAGUCCAGGUUGUACCCAUUCUACGUCCCUGGCACAUUGGAAUGUUAUGUUAUGUUAUGUUAAGAGAAAGACCGGUUGACCCAUUCUACGUCCCGGCACUUUGGAAUGUAGAGGACUCUUGGUGACAAUACCAUCCGUGAUGUGAUUU